rnacentral:rRNA from 1 species
CGGACGGGUGAGUAACGCGUGAGAAUCUAGCUUCAGGUCGGGGACAACAGUUGGAAACGACUGCUAAUACCGGAUGUGCCGAGAGGUGAAAGGUUAACUGCCUGAAGAUGAGCUCGCGUCUGAUUAGCUAGUUGGGGGUGUAAGAGACCACCAAGGCGACGAUCAGUAGCUGGUCUGAGAGGAUGAUCAGCCACACUGGGACUGAGACACGGCCCAGACUCCCACGGGAGGCAGCAGUGGGGAAUUUUCCGCAAUGGGCGAAAGCCUGACGGAGCAAUACCGCGUGAGGGAGGAAGGCUCUUGGGUUGUAAACCUCUUUUCUCAGGGAAUAAAAAAUGAAGGUACCUGAGGAAUAAGCAUCGGCUAACUCCGUGCCAGCAGCCGCGGUAAUACGGAGGAUGCAAGCGUUAUCCGGAAUGAUUGGGCGUAAAGGGUCCGCAGGUGGCACUGUAAGUCUGCUGUCAAAGAGCAAGGCUCAACCUUGUAAAGGCAGUGGAAACUACAGAGCUAGAGUACGUUCGGGGCAGAAGGAAUUCCUGGUGUAGCGGUGAAAUGCGUAGAGAUCAGGAAGAACACCGGUGGCGAAAGCGUUCUGCUAGGCCUGUACUGACACUGAGGGACGAAAGCUAGGGGAGCGAAUGGGAUUAGAUACCCCAGUAGUC